UGGUCAUGGGGGUUCUGUGUUGGAGGAUAUAAAUACAUAUAAUACUGCUAAUAAUAAUAACAAUAAAUAUUUCUCUGUUUUUCUUUUCCAGAGUAGCUAAUUCCAUCAGGAGAGUGUUCAUUGCUGAAGUUCCCACCAUCGCCAUAGACUGGGUACAGAUAGAUGCCAACUCCUCGGUCCUCCAUGAUGAGUUUAUUGCACAUAGGUUAGGUCUGAUCCCUCUUACCAGUGAUGAUGUUGUUGAUAAACUGCAAUAUUCCAGGGUGAGUCUAAGUCU